AGGACGAACGCUGGCGGCGUGCUUAACACAUGCAAGUCGAGCGGAAAGGCCCUUCGGGGUACUCGAGCGGCGAACGGGUGAGUAACACGUGAGUAAUCUGCCCCUAGCUCUGGGAUAGCUCCGGGAAACCGGGAUUAAUACCGGAUACGACCACCUUAGACAUCUUUUGUGGUGGAAAGAAUUUCGGCUAGGGAUGAGCUCGCGGCCUAUCAGCUUGUGGUGGGUAACGCCUACCAAGGCGACGAC
rnacentral:rRNA from 1 species